rnacentral:rRNA from 1 species
CACAAUGACUCUCGGCAACGGAUAUCUCGGCUCUUGCAUCGAUNAAAAACGUAGCGAAAUGCGAUACUUGGUGUGAAUUGCAAAAUCCCGUGAACCAUCGAGUCUUUGAACGCAAGUUGCGCCCGAAGCCAUUAGGCCGAGGGCACGCCUGCCUGGGUGUCACA